rnacentral:lncRNA from 1 species
CUUCAAUAUUUCAAUGUCUUUUCUCACUUUAAUAUGACCAUCCUUUAUCAAUUCAUUGGAUUCCUUCAUGUUUUUGUGGUCCUCUUGUAACAAUUCAUGGAAUUUCUUUACCUCUUUCUGCUCUUUCUGUAACAAUGCAUAGGCAAGUUUUACUUUUUUAUUGGUUUCUUGUUGCGAUUCAUUGGAUCUACGCAUAUCAAGUUGUGAGCGUUUCAGACCUCUGAAUGAUUUCUUCAACCCUUUAAUUUCAUCAUUAGACCUUUUGAUGUCCAUCAUUAUUUCUUUGUUGGUUUGAUCUAGCUGCAUGGUUGUUAGAUUACCACAUUUCUGCUCCAUUUGCUGUCCACCCAAUCUAUGUAU